rnacentral:rRNA from 1 species
UACAGAGGUCUCAAGCGUUGUUCGGAUUCAUUGGGCGUAAAGGGUGCGUAGGUGGCGCCGUAAGUCAGGUGUGAAAUUUCGGAGCUUAACUCCGAAACUGCAUUUGAUACUGCGGUGCUUGAGGACUGGAGAGGAGACUGGAAUUCAACGGUGUAGCAGUGAAAUGCGUAGAUAUCGUGAGGAAGACCAGUGGCGAAGGCGGGUCUCUGGACAAUUCCUGACA